ACGUCGCACACAGCUCCUCCUACUUUCAGUUCCGUUGUCUGACAAAUUCGCUUUCAAAACACUAAAGGAAACAAAAUAAUAUAUAUUUAUCUAGCCAAAUUAUUAAUUAGAAACAUAAAAGGAAUCGGAGUUUUCAUAUUUCUUUUUUAUUCGAUUUAUUUGUAUUUAUCUGGACGUCGUAUUUUUUGGCCGACAGGAAGUGAAAUCAUCACACGUUUCGUGCUGACUUUCAGUUGGGAAGGUGCACAGAGAGACGGAGCAAGCAUGUUCACAUUAGUAAAGUGGGUAAAUGGCGACGAUGACGGUAAAUUGAGUGUAAUUCCUACUGAGUGGAUUAAAGGAUUUAAUAUAGAGGAUUUUGAAGAAGAAGGCGACGAAGAUGAGCGCCAUUAUGUCGCAGAGUGGAGAAGAGGGAGUAAACGACCACGUGAAGGAUGGCAAGCUUUCGAUUGUGAAGUGGAGAAAGUGGGAGAAAGACAGUUGGAACUUGUUCAAAUGCGUGAUGCAAUGACAAGAGCAGAAGAGACUCCAGCUUUGAAAAGAAAGAAAUUUCAAAAUAGCAGAUAUGCUGAUGACUCCAGCAGUGACACCAAAGACACUCAAGUGUGCCAGGUAAACAUUGCUAUUUAACAUUUCUGUUAAAUUUUAAGACUGAACAACAUACUACAUUUAUUUUAAGGUGUGAUGCAAGGACCAAAUCAAAACUUUGACCCACUAAUCAUAAGUUACAAAUCUGGUGCUGAUUUUGAAAAAGAAAAGACGAAGUAGAACAGAGAAUUGCAAAGGUUUUCAUAAAGCCGAAUAUUGUAUAAUUGCAGCUAUCCCUGUGAUAUUGGACAAAAUUGAGGAGCUAGGAAAGAGGGACAACUCUGGUCCUACUGACCACUCUAUUGACAGUGAGGCAAAUUGUCUUUGUGGAAGUCCACGGUAUGCUGCGUCGUCUGCAGGAUCAACUGUGUCCAUAUCCUCAAUUCCUCAAUCACAAGGAAAUGGAAGACAACUUGACAAGGUGGAAAUUCAUCCAGGAAGUGGAGUGUAUAUAGACCAGCUGGCUUGGACAAUAACAAAUAAGGCUACUUCCUACACUUCAUUUGUGAGAAAUGCUAUGCUCUCUGUGUUUGACAUUGAAACUUUAGUAAAAAGUAAUUUACGUGGUGGAAGUGGCAAACGACAGAAACAUGGGGAAAGAAGAGAGGCCUUGGAUCCCAACAAAGUGAAUGCCAUAUACGCUGCAACUCUGAUGAAAUUUCCACUUGCCACCAAAUCACAGCUUGGUUCUGUAAUUAAUGGGAAAAUAGCUGAACUUAGGUAUGGAAUAAAGAAACGCACACAAAAAUACACAAGGCUUUAAUGAUACUAACUGAUACUGGUACUGGGCUUAGAAGUCAUAAACUGUGCGGUAGUUCUAGUUCUGUUUUAGGUUGCCCCUGUAUUUUAUUUAGAUGUUUAAUUUCGAAAACAAAUGAAACAUCCCUUAUUAAAGUUUUCCCUGUUGACUUUAUUGUAAUGUUUUUGCACUUUUACCAUUGAUUUACCUUACUUUUACCAUGGUUUCCUACGGUUUUCAAUUAUUUUAAGAUAUCUUCAAAUAUUUCAAUAUGUCUGUUUGGCGAGCUACAGGGCCAAACUGCCAGUUAGAGAUACCUUCAAAUAUUUGAAGGUAUCUCUAAAUGAUGAUUCGGCUUGCCGUAAGAAAUAGUGUUAAUUUACAGUAGUGUUAUUGUAUCUAUAGUGAUAAUGUACAUGUGUAUAUCCGAGAAAUAUUAGGGGAUGAAAGUAAUGUUUUUUUUUUAAGUAAUUCAGUGAAACUCCAACUCUGUUUAUAACAAGAUUGUAAACAAGAUUUUGCAGUCGCUCAGAUGAGGGCUCAAACUGAUAACUGUUCAAUAAAGUUUUAUAAAUUUAUAAAA